rfam:Candidatus Microthrix parvicella RN1 genomic scaffold, 2605
CUUGGCGGUGUCGUAGCGGUCGGGGUCGUCCCCGAACUCUGCGAGCACCCGGGCGCCGAGCACAACACCGAGUCCUGGCAGG